rnacentral:tRNA from 4 species
GGCCGUGUGGCGUAAUGGCAACGCGUCUGACUACGAUUUGAAAUCAGGAGAUUGCAGGUUCGACCCCUGUCUCGGUCA